rnacentral:rRNA from 1 species
UACGUAGGGUGCGAGCGUUGUCCGGAAUUAUUGGGCGUAAAGAGCUCGUAGGCGGUGUGUCGCGUCGGCCGUGAAAACCUGGGGCUCAACUCUGGGCGUGCGGUCGAUACGGGCAUCACUGGAGUUCGGCAGGGGAGACUGGAAUUCCUGGUGUAGCGGUGAAAUGCGCAGAUAUCAGGAGGAACACCGGUGGCGAAGGCGGGUCUCUGGGCCCGAUACUGAC